rnacentral:rRNA from 1 species
GACGAACGCUGGCGGCGUGCUUAACACAUGCAAGUCGAACGGAAAGGCCCUGCUUUUGUGGGGUGCUCGAGUGGCGAACGGGUGAGUAACACGUGAGUAACCUGCCCUUGACUUUGGGAUAACUUCAGGAAACUGGGGCUAAUACCGGAUAGGAGCUCCUGCUGCAUGGUGGGGGUUGGAAAGUUUCGGCGGUUGGGGAUGGACUCGCGGCUUAUCAGCUUGUUGAUGGGGUAGUGGCUUACCAAGGCUUUGACGGGUAGCUGGCCUGAGAGGGUGACCGGCCACAUUGGGACUGAGAUACGGCCCAGACUCCUACGGGAGGCAGCAGUGGGGAAUAUUGCACAAUGGGCGGAAGCCUGAUGCAGCAACGCCGCGUGCGGGAUGACGGCCUUCGGGUUGUAAACCGCUUUCGCCUGUGACGAAGCGUGAGUGACGGUAAUGGGUAAAGAAGCACCGGCUAACUACGUG